UUGGAGGGCAAGUCUGGUGCCAGCAGCCGCGGUAAUUCCAGCUCUAAUAGCGUAUAUUAAAGUUGUUGCAGUUAAAAAGCUCGUAGUUGAAUUUCGGGAUCAAUUUAUCGGUCGUGCCUACGGUAUGAACUGGUACAAUUGGUUUCUCCCUUCUGACGAAGCAUGAUGUCAUUAAUUUGGUGUCGUGGGGAAUCAGGACUGUUACUUUGAAAAAAUUAGAGUGUUUAAAGCAAGCAUUAGCUUGAAUACAUUAGCAUGGAAUAAUGAAAUAGGACGUUUGAUCCUAUUUCGUUGGUUUCUAGGAUCGACGUAAUGAUUAAUAGGGAUAGUUGGGGGCAUUAGUAUUCAAUUGUCAGAGGUGAAAUUCUUGGAUUUAUUGAAGACUAACUACUGCGAAAGCAUUUGCCAAGGAUGUUUUCAUUAAUCAAGAACGAAAGUUAGGGGAUCGAAGACGAUCAGAUACCGUCGUAGUCUUAACCAUAAACUAUGCCGACUAGGGACCGGAUGAUGUUAAUUUUUUAAUGACUCAUUCGGCGCCUUACGGGAAAC
rnacentral:rRNA from 1 species